rnacentral:pre_miRNA from 1 species
GUGGGUACAAGGAAUCUACUUUAUUCAGCACACUAACCUAAUUUCCGAGACAUGUUACAUGCCUGAAACAUGUCUUAGAAAUUAGGAUUUUUCUUGGUUUGUGUGCUGAACAAAGUAGAUUCCUUGUACCCA